CCACACCAGCACAACAGCCCUAUAAAACCUCUCUCCAUUAAAGAGGCUCUGCUGCCUGACCACCAGCCAGCCAUGGCUGUUGCAGACUGUGAAGAGCCUCCAGUUAAAAAGCCCAGCGCCCCCCUACAGUCUCCUGUGACUAACAAUGACGAAAACAAGAGAGGGGACAAGUGGCGGAAGAAGGAGCAACACAAGACAAUGGAGAACACGA